AACGGAAGCGCGCAGUGAAGGCGGGUGACAGGGGCGCAGAGGGGCGCACAGUGAGACGGAGGGAGAGGGGACGGCGAGGGCGACGAGGGAGGCGGGUGGAAGAGGGCGAAGGUGAGGGGACAAGGGCGGGGAAAAGGGCGAGGACAGACAUAAGCGUGUCGGAAAGGGAGGAAGGGGCGGUCCGCACGAUCCCCGCCCCGCCUCCCGGUGCCUGCGCACCUCCGCCCGAGCCCGCCGGACUUGCGGCUGCGUUCUCUACCGGCUUCCUUGCAGCUCAGUGGAAGAACUGGCCAGAGAGUCUGGAAGUUUGGGUUCUGGUCCUGGCUGUGCCACUGACCCACUGUGACCUUAGGGCCGGGAAUGGUGGCUCACGCCUAUAAUCCCAGUACUUCGGGUGGCCAAGGCUGGGGGAUCACUUGAGUCCAGGGGUUGGAGAGCAGCCUGGGCAACAUAGUGAGACCCCCACCGCCCCACCCCACCCCACCGCCCUGUCUCUACAAAAAAUU
rnacentral:lncRNA from 1 species